rnacentral:rRNA from 1 species
GACGAACGCUGGCGGCGUGCUUAACACAUGCAAGUCGAACGGAAAGGCCCUGCUUUUGUGGGGUGCUCGUGUGGCGAACGGGUGUGUAACACGUGAGUAACCUGCCCUUGACUUUGGGAUAACUUCAGGAAACUGGGGCUAAUACCGGAUAGGAGCUCCUGCUGCAUGGUGGGGGUUGGAAAGUUUCGGCGGUUGGGGAUGGACUCGCGGCUUAUCAGCUUGUUGGUGGGGUAGUGGCUUACCAAGCCUUUGACGGGUAGCCGGCCUGAGAGGGUUACCGGGCACAUUGGGCCUGAGAGACGGCCCAGACGCCAACGGGAGGCAGCAGUGGGGAAUAUUGCGCAGUGGGCGGAAGCCUGAUGCAGCAACGCCGCGUGCGGGAUGACGGCCUUCGGGUUGUAAACAGCUUUCGCCGGUGACGAAGAGUGAGUGACGGUAAUGGGUAAAGAAGCACCGGCUAACUACGUG